AGUGAACGCUGGCGGUAGGCCUAACGCAUGCAAGCCGAACGGCAGCACAGUAAGAGCUUGCUCUUACGGGUGGCGAGUGGCGGACGGGUGAGGAAUACAUCGGAAUCUACUUUUUCGUGGGGGAUAACGUAGGGAAACUUACGCUAAUACCGCAUACGACCUACGGGUGAAAGCAGGGGAUCUUCGGACCUUGCGCGAUUGAAUGAGCCGAUGUCGGAUUAGCUAGUUGGCGGGGUAAAGGCCCACCAAGGCGACGAUCCGUAGCUGGUCUGAGAGGAUGAUCAGCCACACUGGAACUGAGACACGGUCCAGACUCCUACGGGAGGCAGCAGUGGGGAAUAUUGGACAAUGGGCGCAAGCCUGAUCCAGCCAUACCGCGUGGGUGAAGAAGGCCUUCGGGUUGUAAAGCCCUUUUGUUGGGAAAGAAAAGCAGCAGGUUAAUACCCCGCUGUUCUGACGGUACCCAAAGAAUAAGCACCGGCUAACUUCGUG
rnacentral:rRNA from 1 species